ACUUACACACACUACAAAUCUUUUACACCUUUUCAAACACACACAAAUUCUCUCAAACACCUUCAUAUCUUCAUCAACCUACCAAGAACACCAUAGAAAAACCCUUCCAUCAUAUUCAUCUUUCUUAUAAACCACAUGGAUUUUCAUGGAAAUUAAGAAGAUAUAAAGUAUUUGCAAGUUAAAUCAAGCCUUUUCAUCCAUCCAAGAGUCUUCUAACAACAAGAUCUUCAUCUUCUUUGGAUCAUAAGCUCUUUUAGAUCAUCCCUAGCCUAGAGCUAGAAGUCGCAAUACUGUUCAGGACUACCGUACGUGAAAUCAUAUUUACUUCUACUCACUGAAGCGAUACUGGAAUUAGUGGACCUUGUCAGGGAUUCUAAUUCGGGAAACAAGUAUCAAGACUCCGUGCCAUCUUUUGAAGGGUUUAUCUAUUAUA